rnacentral:rRNA from 1 species
CUACGGGUCGCUGCAGUGAGGAAUAUUGCACAAUGGGGGGAACCCUGAUGCAGCAACGCCGCGUGGAGGAUGACGCAUUUCGGUGUGUAAACUCCUUUUAUAUGUCAAGAAAAUGACGGUAGCAUAUGAAUAAGCACCGGCUAACUCCGUGCCAGCAGCCGCGGUAAUACGGAGGGUGCAAGCUUUACUCGGAAUCACUGGGCGUAAAGGACGCGUAGGCGGGUUGGAAAGUCAGGUGUGAAAUACUACGGCUUAACUGUAGAACUGCACUUGAAACUUCUAAUCUAGAGUAUGGGAGGGGGAGAUGGAAUUAGUGGUGUAGGGGUAAAAUCCGUAGAUAUCACUAGGAAUACCUAAAGCGAAGGCGAUCUCCUGGAACAUUACUGACGCUAAGGCGUGAAAGCGUGGGGAGCAAACAGGAUUAGAUACCCCAGUAGUC